rnacentral:rRNA from 1 species
AAUUAGGGUUCGAUUCCGGAGAGGGAGCCUGAGAAACGGCUACCACAUCCAAGGAAGGCAGCAGGCGCGCAAAUUACCCAAUCCCGACACGGGGAGGUAGUGACAAUAAAUACUGAUACAGGGCUCUUUUGGGUCUUGUAAUCGGAAUGAGUACAAUUUAAACCUCUUAACGAGGAACAAUUGGAGGGCAAGUCUGGUGCCAGCAGCCGCGGUAAUUCCAGCUCCAAUAGCGUAUAUUAAAGUUGUUGCAGUUAAAAAGCUCGUAGUUGAAUCUUGGGCCUGGCUGGCCGGUCCGCCUCACCGCGUGUACUGGUCUGGCCGGGCCUUUCCUUCUGGAGAACCUCAUGCCCUUCAGUGGGUGUGUUGGGGAACCAGGACUUUUACUUUGAAAAAAUUAGAGUGUUCAAAGCAGGCCUUUGCUCGAAUACGUUAGCAUGGAAUAAUAGAAUAGGACGUGCGGUCCUAUUUUGUUGGUUUCUAGGACCGCCGUAAUGAUUAAUAGGGAUAGUCGGGGGCAUCAGUAUUCAAUUGUCAGAGGUGAAAUUCUUGGAUUUAUUGAAGACUAACUACUGCGAAAGCAUUUGCCAAGGAUGUUUUCAUUAAUCAGUGAACGAAAGUUAGGGGAUCGAAGACGAUCAGAUACCGUCGUAGUCUUAACCGUAAACUAUGCCGACUAGGGAUCGGGCGAUGUUUCUAUCUUGACUCGCUCGGCACCUUACGAGAAAUCAAAG